rnacentral:rRNA from 1 species
CAAUAGCGUAUAUUAAAGUUGUUGCAGUUAAAAAGCUCGUAGUUGGAUUUCUGGUGGGAGCGAUCGGUCUGGCGCUUAGCGCGAGUACUUGCAUCGUCUCCGGCCAUCCUUGGGGAGAGUCUGUCUGGCAUUAGGUUGUCGGGCAGAGGAUCCUCAUCGUUACUGUGAAAAAAUUAGAGUGUUCAAAGCAGGCUUAUGCCGUUGAAUAUAUCAGCAUGGAAUAAUAAGAUAGGACUUUGGUACUAUUUUGUUGGUUUGCGCACCAAAGUAAUGAUUAAUAGGGACAGUUGGGGGUAUCCGUAUUCCGUUGUCAGAGGUGAAAUUCUUGGAUUUACGGAAGACGAACUACUGCGAAAGCAUUUACCAAGGAUGUUUUCAUUA